rnacentral:lncRNA from 1 species
CAGAGCAGAAAUUCCAUCCAUGAUCUAUAGCUGCUGGUCCUCACACUUGGAUCUCCUAACUCAGAUGACACCUGACCCAGCCUGGGAGUGACCUCUGCGUUGCAGCUCAUAUGCACAUCGACCAUGUGCCUGCCUCACUGCUAUAAGUAAGAUCAGUCCCUAGUAAGGCCUGGCGAAGCUCCCCGUCAGAAACAAAAAGUCCUCCUUUUAUUUUCCACCCCAAGUCACUGUCUGGGAACCUCUACAGAACUGAAGGGGUGUGGCCCUUUUGAAGGACUUCCAUGAACAAAAAGGUUCCCAGAUAAGAACAAUAGACUUAUUGAUGACCAAAUCUGAACCUGCUUACCAUGCUCUGUGGUUUCUCCCUGUAAACGUUUUUCCCAUAAUCCAGUGGCUGCUUUGGAAGAGUUGUCCAGAACACUUUCAUCAGGGCUAUUUUUUCACCCUAUGAUUCUGGCCAUCAUCCAGUUUAUUUUUUGAAAAAGAGCAGCCAGGAGUAAAUCACAUCCCAGAGGAAAAAAAAAAUCCUACAAGGUUCAAAACAUUUUAUAUUCAUGGGAAUAAUUAGGAAAAUUCUAGAAUUAUACCUGUUAGCCAAUUAAGGAGUGACCAACUUCAAAUCACAAAUACAGGUUCCUGAAAACAACAUGUAAUUUUAUGUAACUGACUUACCAGCCUGGGGAUAGAAACAAGGCCAUGAUGCAUUUGAAGGGCCUGCCCAGGGCUUGGUUGGUAACUAGAAUCCAGCAGAGCUGCUGGGCUUGGAAGGAAAGGAUUGCACAGAGAUUAACUCCACCGAAACAUGCCUGUUUUUGCAUAAUAUUUAUGUUUCCGCCCUCAUAAUGGCUUCAUUUCAUUUAUUCUCCAAACCAAAUGGCAGAGACAGCUACUCUUUGUGGUACACAUGGUUACAUUGCUCCUUUUGCCAAUUCCAUGAGAAGAUCAUUGUCACUUUUUCUCUG